rnacentral:rRNA from 1 species
AGAAUCAACGCUGGCGGCGUGCCUAACACAUGCAAGUCGCACGAGAAAGGGUAGCAAUACCUGAGUACAGUGGCGCACGGGUGAGUAACACGUGAAUAAUCUACCUCCGAGUGGGGAAUAACUGAGAGAAAUCUUAGCUAAUACCGCAUAACACUUACGAGUCAAAGCAGCAAUGCGCUUGGAGAGGAGUUCGCGGCAGAUUAGUUAGUUGGCGGGGUAAUGGCCCACCAAGACGAUGAUCUGUAUCCGGCCUGAGAGGGCGCACGGACACACUGGAACUGAAACACGGUCCAGACUCCUACGGGAGGCAGCAGUGGGGAAUUUUUGCGCAAUGGGGGAAACCCUGACGCAGCAACGCCGCGUGGAGGAUGAAAUCCCUUGGGAUGUAAACUCUUUCGAUAGGGAAGAUAAUGACGGUACCUAUAGAAGAAGCCCCGGCUAACUUCGCGCCAGCAGCCGC